UACGUAGGGUGCGAGCGUUAUUCGGAAUCACUGGGCGUAAAGGGAGCGUAGGCGGCGCGGUAAGUCGGAUGUGAAAUCCCGGGGCUCAACCCCGGAACUGCAUCUGAUACUGCCGUGCUAGAGUAAUGGAGAGGUAGCUGGAAUUAUCGGUGUAGCAGUGAAAUGCGUAGAUAUCGAUAGGAACACUCGUGGCGAAAGCGAGCUACUGGACAUUUACUGACGCUGAGGCUCGAAGGCUAGGGUAGCGAAAGGG
rnacentral:rRNA from 1 species